rnacentral:rRNA from 1 species
AGUAAUACAUCGGAACAUGUCCUGUAGUGGGGGAUAGCCCGGCGAAAGCCGGAUUAAUACCGCAUACGAUCUAGGGAUGAAAGCGGGGGACUUCGGGCCUCGCGCUAUAGGGUUGGCCGAUGGCUGAUUAGCUAGUUGGUGGGGUAAAGGCCUACCAAGGCGACGAUCAGUAGCUGGUCUGAGAGGACGACCAGCCACACUGGACUGAGACACGGCCCAGACUCCUACGGGAGGCAGCAGUGGGGAAUUUUGGACAAUGGGCGAAAGCCUGAUCCAGCAAUGCCGCGUGUGUGAAGAAGGCCUUCGGGUUGUAAAGCACUUUUGUCCGGAAAGAAAUCCUUGGCUCUAAUACAGUCGGGGGAUGACGGUACCGGAAGAAUAAGCACCGGCUAACUACGUGCCAGCAGCCGCGGUAAUACGUAGGGUGCAAGCGUUAAUCGGAAUUACUGGGCGUAAAGCGUGCGCAGGCGGUUUGCUAAGACCGAUGUGAAAUCCCCGGGCUCAACCUGGGAACUGCAUUGGUGACUGGCAGGCUAGAGUAUGGCAGAGGGGGGUAGAAUUCCACGUGUAGCAGUGAAAUGCGUAGAGAUGUGGAGGAAUACCGAUGGCGAAGGCAGCCCCCUGGGCCAAUACUGACGCUCAUGCACGAAAGCGUGGGGAGCAAACAGGAUUAGAUACCCUGGUAGUCCACGCCCUAAACGAUGUCAACUAGUUGUUGGGGAUUCAUUUCCUUAGUAACGUAGCUAACGCGUGAAGUG